UUUUUUCCUAGUCAAACCGUGCAGUUCGUCGCCAUGUUUGAACAGCGGGGUAUGCAAGAAUAUUGGGGAUAGCUAUAGUUGUAGCUGUACAUCUGGGUACACUGGAACUCGCUGUGAAAGAAAAGGUAUCAAAAGUAAAAUCUUUCAUUUUCAAUCACAAGAUUACACAGGAAAUAUUCAAAUAUUUUCAUCUACUGCUGUUCUGGUAAAAUAAUAUCAUAACUUAAUAUGCUCAUCUUAAGUAACUGAUGUGACCCCAAACCAAUUUAGCAGAAAUUCACUCAAGCCCGAUUUACCUGGGGAAAACAAAGCUGGUUUAAGCGCUACUCGUGCUGGAGUAAGGGUCAAACUAACGGUAUACGUAAUCGUUCCAUGUUUCGCGCGCCAAUAUAGUAAACGUUAUGUAAUGGAUAUUAUAGUGUACUGAAAAGUUAACUGGAUACCUCCAUACACAUAUAUACACACCCUAACCCUAACCUAACCCCUAACCCUAAUACCUAACCCUAACCUAUAUUGGUGCGCGAUUGCGCGAAACAUGGAACGAUAAUCAAACUAACCAUGGUCGAAUCCGGGUUAGGGCGGCUUCAAGUUAAUUCUGACUCUGGGUCGAACCCAAGUGUGCAUGUUUUCGUAAGAUUAAUUGGCCUUAUACACCAUGGGCGGCUAAAGAUUUGUUUCGUUUUUUUCGGGGGGGGGGGGUGGGGGCUAGGUAAAACCUAGAGGGGUUCGGAGGCAUGCUUCCCGGAAAAUUUUGAAACUUGCUGAGACUGUUGACGUGCGAAACUAUAUCAUUUUGUUAAUUUUGCAUUUCAGGUACUGAACAAUCUGAUACCUUUAUAUUAAAUUUUCCCACUUUUUUGGGAAAGGGCACUUUCCCCCUUCAGCCCACCCACUUCUACUUUUGGGGAACUACAGCCCCCGCGC